CCACGAACAGGGCAAACUAUUCCGAAAGGGUAGGACGCAAAGCCACCGGCCUUCAAGUACAUUGUUACCAGGUAGCGGGGUUGCCGAA
rnacentral:ncRNA from 1 species